AAGUCGUAACAAGGUUUCCGUAGUUCUCCGCGGAUUCCAACCAUAUUAGUCGAUAUGCCCUGAAAAGGGAAUAUUGGCAUACAUCGCUGGUCCAGAGGAUGUCCCUUCCGGGGACGAAUUCUGGGGCGAGGCUUGUCUCUGAGCCCGCCGAAACGCAUGCAAAGUGAUGGACCUUCGGCCAACCGAGGGUUUACGGUACAUGCUACCACUCGACGAUCCCCUAAGUCGAAGUGAUUUAGUGAGGUGAACCUGCGGAAGGAUCAUUAAUAGAGCAAUCUGGGCUGCUUUCGAGCACCCGGAACCUCUCCACCCCAUGUUUGUUGUUACCAAGUUGCUUUGGCGGGCCGAGCCUAGCUCCGCCGACUUAGGUCGGACGAGCGCCCGCCAGAGGUCAAUUAAAACUCUAUAAUUUUGAAGUCUGAGAAACUAUUUUAAAUAGCCUAAAACUUUCAACAACGGAUCUCUUGGUUCUG
rnacentral:misc_RNA from 1 species